UACGGGGGGGGCAAGCGUUGUUCGGAAUUACUGGGCGUAAAGCGCGUGUAGGCGGCAGCGCAAGUCGGGCGUGAAAUCCCACGGCUCAACCGUGGAAGUGCACUCGAAACUGCGCAGCUAGAGUCCUGGAGAGGAAGGUGGAAUGCUUGGUGUAGAGGUGAAAUUCGUAGAUAUCAAGCGGAACACCGGUGGCGAAGGCGGCCUUCUGGACAGUGACUGACGCUGAGACGCGAAAGCGUGGGGAGCAAACAGG
rnacentral:rRNA from 1 species